UACGAAGGGGGCGAGCGUUGUUCGGAUUUACUGGGCGUAAAGGGCGCGCAGGCGGCAGACCAAGUCAGGCGUGAAAGCCCCGGGCUUAACCUGGGAGGUGCGUCUGGGACUGGUAUGCUAGAGUUCGGGAGAGGAGAGUGGAAUUCCCGGUGUAGCGGUGGAAAUGACGCAGAUAUCAGGAAGAACACCCGUGGCGAAGGCGGCUCUCUGGGACGGUACUGACGCUGAGACGCGAAAGCGUGGGGAGCGAACAGG
rnacentral:rRNA from 1 species